AUUGAACGCUGGCGGCAGGCCUAACACAUGCAAGUCGAACGGUAACAGGAAGAAGCUUGCUUCUUUGCUGACGAGUGGCGGACGGGUGAGUAAUGUCUGGGAAACUGCCUGAUGGAGGGGGAUAACUACUGGAAACGGUAGCUAAUACCGCAUAACGUCGCAAGACCAAAGAGGGGGACCUUCGGGCCUCUUUCCAUCGGAUGUGCCCAGAUGGGAUUAGCUAGUAGGUGGGGUAACGGCUCACCUAGGCGACGAUCCCUAGCUGGUCUGAGAGGAUGACCAGCCACACUGGAACUGAGACACGGUCCAGACUCCUACGGGAGGCAGCAGUGGGGAAUAUUGCACAAUGGGCGCAAGCCUGAUGCAGCCAUGCCGCGUGUAUGAAGAAGGCCUUCGGGUUGUAAAGUACUUUCAGCGGGGAGGAAGGGAGUAAAGUUAAUACCUUCGCUCAUUGACGUUACCCGCAGAAGAAGCACCGGCUAACUCCGUG
rnacentral:rRNA from 1 species